GUCGGCCUGCGCGGAAGAUGUAACGGGGCUAAACCAUGCACCGAAGCUGCGGCAGCGACACUGUGUGUUGUUGGGUAGGGGAGCGUUCUGUAAGCCUGUGAAGGUGUGUCGUGAGGCAUGCUGGAGGUAUCAGAAGUGCGAAUGCUGACAUAAGUAACGAUAAAGCGGGUGAAAAGCCCGCUCGCCGGAAGACCAAGGGUUCCUGUCCAACGUUAAUCGGGGCAGGGUGAGUCGACCCCUAAGGCGAGGCCGAAAGGCGUAGUCGAUGGGAAACGGGUUAAUAUUCCCGUACUUGGUGUUACUGCGAAGGGGGGACGGAGAAGGCUAUGUUGGCCGGGCGACGGUUGUCCCGGUUUAAGCGUGUAGGUGUGUGUUCCAGGUAAAUCCGGUUCACUUUAACACUGAGGCGUGACGACGAGGCACUACGGUGCUGAAGCAACAAAUGCCCUGCUUCCAGGAAAAGCCUCUAAGCAUCAGGUAACAUCAAAUCGUACCCCAAACCGACACAGGUGGUCAGGUAGAGAAUACCAAGGCGCUUGAGAGAACUCGGGUGAAGGAACUAGGCAAAAUGGUGCCGUAACUUCGGGAGAAGGCACGCUGACACGUAGGUGAAGUGAUUUACUCAUGGAGCUGAAGUCAGUCGAAGAUACCAGCUGGCUGCAACUGUUUAUUAAAAACACAGCACUGUGCAAACACGAAAGUGGACGUAUACGGUGUGACGCCUGCCCGGUGCCGGAAGGUUAAUUGAUGGGGUCAGCGCAAGCGAAGCUCCUGAUCGAAGCCCCGGUAAACGGCGGCCGUAACUAUAACGGUCCUAAGGUAGCGAAAUUCCUUGUCGGGUAAGUUCCGACCUGCACGAAUGGCGUAAUGAUGGCCAGGCUGUCUCCACCCGAGACUCAGUGAAAUUGAACUCGCUGUGAAGAUGCAGUGUACCCGCGGCAAGACGGAAAGACCCCGUGAACCUUUACUAUAGCUUGACACUGAACAUUGAGCCUUGAUGUGUAGGAUAGGUGGGAGGCUUUGAAGUGUGGACGCCAGUCUGCAUGGAGCCGACCUUGAAAUACCACCCUUUAAUGUUUGAUGUUCUAACGUGGACCCGUUACCCGGGUUGCGGACAGUGUCUGGUGGGUAGUUUGACUGGGGCGGUCUCCUCCUAAAGAGUAACGGAGGAGCACGAAGGUUGGCUAAUCCUGGUCGGACAUCAGGAGGUUAGUGCAAUGGCAUAAGCCAGCUUGACUGCGAGCGUGACGGCGCGAGCAGGUGCGAAAGCAGGUCAUAGUGAUCCGGUGGUUCUGAAUGGAAGGGCCAUCGCUCAACGGAUAAAAGGUACUCCGGGGAUAACAGGCUGAUACCGCCCAAGAGUUCAUAUCGACGGCGGUGUUUGGCACCUCGAUGUCGGCUCAUCACAUCCUGGGGCUGAAGUAGGUCCCAAGGGUAUGGCUGUUCGCCAUUUAAAGUGGUACGCGAGCUGGGUUUAGAACGUCGUGAGACAGUUCGGUCCCUAUCUGCCGUGGGCGCUGGAGAACUGAGGGGGGCUGCUCCUAGUACGAGAGGACCGGAGUGGACGCAUCACUGGUGUUCGGGUUGUCAUGCCAAUGGCACUGCCCGGUAGCUAAAUGCGGAAGAGAUAAGUGCUGAAAGCAUCUAAGCACGAAACUUGCCCCGA
rnacentral:rRNA from 2 species